AUGGGGAACUGCCAGGCGGCGGACGCGGCGGCGGUGGUGAUCCAGCACCCGGGCGACGCCAAGGUGGAGCGCCUCCACUGGCCGACCACCGCGGCGGACGUCAUGCGCAGGAACCCCGGCACUACGUCGCCCUCGUCCUCCUCCACCACAAAUCUGGCGGCGUUGACCACGCCGUCGCCGGAGAAAGAGGAGGUGACCAAGGCCGUUCAGAUGAGGAAGCAGGAGAGGAUGCGCGUCUGCGACGAGGCGAUUGAGCAGCAGCGGCCGCGGCUGCACCGGCGACGUCAACUACCGAGGCCGAGAGGAGAGGACGCGGCGGCCGCCCCCAGCGGAGAACAGAGGCAGCCUGCCGACCACCAGGAACGGAAGCGGCUGGAGAAGGACCGGCACCACCGGAGCAUCACCGCCGCCCCCGGCAGAGGCAGAGGCAGAGGCGGGCACUGGCGCCCGGCGCUGCAGAGCAUCACAGAGUCGUCGUCGAGCGGACACACCGAAUGCGAGGAUACACCCUGGCCCGGCGAGCCUGAUUCUAUUGAGCCGGUUUGA
rnacentral:rRNA from 1 species